rnacentral:rRNA from 2 species
CUCUAGAAGACUACUAGUUUGAUAGGCUGGGUGUGUAAUGGAUGAAAGUCCUUUAGCUGACCAGUACUAAUAGAGCGUUUGGCUUAUCUUUAAUAAAGCAU